AUUGAACGCUGGCGGCAGGCCUAACACAUGCAAGUCGAACGAGUGGUGGACGGGUGAGUAAUGUCUGUGAAACUGCCUGGUGGAGGGGGAUAACUACUGGGAACGGUAGCUAAUACCGCAUACCAUCAGAUGUGCCCAGAUGGGAUUAGCUUGUGGGUGGGGUCACGGCUCACCAGGGCGACGAUCCCUAGCUGGUCUGAGAGGAUGACCCGCCACACUGGAACUGAGACACGGUCCAGACUCCUACGGUAGGCAGCAGUGGGUAAGAGUGCACAAUGGGCGCAAGCCUGAUGCAGCCAUGCCGCGUGUAUGAAGAAGGCCUUCGGGUUGUAAAGUACUUUCAGCGGGGAGGCGUUACCCGCAGAAGAAGCACCGGCUAACUUCGUGCCAGCAGCCGCGGUAAUAC
rnacentral:rRNA from 1 species